rnacentral:rRNA from 1 species
GAUGAACGCUGGCGGCGUGCCUAAUACAUGCAAGUCGAGCGAACAGACGAGGAGCUUGCUCCGCGGACGUUAGCGGCGGACGGGUGAGUAACACGUGUAUAACCUACCUAUAAUACGGGUAUAACUUCGGGAAACCGGAGCUAAUACCGUAUAAUAUAUUGAACCGCGUUGUUCAAUAGUGAAAUACGGUGUUUCUGUCACUUAUAGAUGGAUCCGCGCCGCAUUAGAUAGUUGUUAAGGUAACAGCUUACCAAGGCAAGGAUGCGUAGCCGACGUGAGAGGGGGGUCGGCCACCCUGGAACGGAGCCACGGUCAAGACUCCUAAGGGAGGCAGCAGUAGGGAAUCGUCCGCAAUGGGGGAAAGCAUGACGGAGCAACGCCGAGUGAGUGAUGAAGGUCUUCGGAUCGUAAAACCGUGUUAUUAGGGAAGAACAAAUGUGUAAGUAAAUAUGCCCGUCUUGACGGUAACUAAUCAGAAAGCCACGGCUAACUACGUG